rnacentral:rRNA from 1 species
AUACGUAGGGUGCGAGCGUUGUCCGGAAUUACUGGGCGUAAAGAGCUCGUAGGUGGUUUGUCGCGUCGUCUGUGAAAUUCCGGGGCUUAACUCCGGGCGUGCAGGCGAUACGGGCAUAACUUGAGUACUGUAGGGGAGACUGGAAUUCCUGGUGUAGCGGUGAAAUGCGCAGAUAUCAGGAGGAACACCGGUGGCGAAGGCGGGUCUCUGGGCAGUAACUGACGCUGAGGAGCGAAAGCAUGGGUAGCGAACAGGAUUAGAUACCCUGGUAGUCCAUACCGUAAACGGUGGGCGCUAGGUGUAGGGGUCUUCCACGACUUCUGUGCCGUAGCUAACGCAUUAAGCGCCCCGCCUGGGGAGUACGGCCGCAAGGCUAAAACUCAAAGGAAUUGACGGGG